UACGGAGGGGGCUAGCGUUGUUCGGAAUUACUGGGCGUAAAGCGCGCGCAGGCGGUUCUUCAAGUCAGUGGUGAAAGCCCGGAGCUCAACUCCGGAACUGCCAUUGAAACUGUGGAACUUGAGGAUGAGAGAGGUGAGUGGAAUUCCCAGUGUAGAGGUGAAAUUCGUAGAUAUUGGGAAGAACACCGGUGGCGAAGGCGGCUCACUGGCUCAUUUCUGACGCUCAGGCGCGACAGCGUGGGGAUCAAACAGG
rnacentral:rRNA from 1 species